rnacentral:rRNA from 1 species
UAAGGAAUAUUGGUCAAUGGACGCAAGUCUGAACCAGCCAUGCCGCGUGGAGGAUGAAGGCCCUCUGGGUUGUAAACUUCUUUUAUCUGGGACGAAACACUCUUUUUCUAAGGAGCUUGACGGUACCAGGUGAAUAAGCACCGGCUAACUCCGUGCCAGCAGCCGCGGUAAUACGGAGGGUGCAAGCGUUAUCCGGAUUCACUGGGUUUAAAGGGUGCGUAGGCGGACAUGUAAGUCCGUGGUGAAAUCUCCGAGCUUAACUCGGAAACUGCCAUGGAUACUAUAUGUCUUGAAUGUUGUGGAGGUUAGCGGAAUAUGUCAUGUAGCGGUGAAAUGCAUAGAUAUGACAUAGAACACCAAUUGCGAAGGCAGCUGGCUACACAAAUAUUGACGCUGAGGCACGAAAGCGUGGGGAUCAAACA